rnacentral:misc_RNA from 1 species
CAGGAUUCGCAAGUCUCCCGUAAACCCCUGUGAACAUACCUAUACUCGUUGCCUCGGCGGGUGCUCCGGUGCGAACCGGGGCGCCAGCCCGCCGGCGGCUCGCUACUCUGUAUUGAAUACUGCAUCUCCGAGCAAUUGCAAACGAAUCA